GCGCACGGGUGAGUAACGCGUAGGCAAUCUGCCCAUAGCAGGGGGAUAACAUCGGGAAACCGGUGCUAAUACCGCAUAAUGCAGCGGGGUCGCAUGACCACAGUUGUUAAGGGUCUUCGGACCGGCUAUGGAUGAGCCUGCGUGCCAUUAGUUAGUUGGUAGGGUAAUGGCCUACCAAGGCGAUGAUGGCUAGGGGGUCUGAGAGGAUGAUCCCCCACACUGGAACUGAGACACGGUCCAGACUCCUACGGGAGGCAGCAGUGAGGAAUCUUGCGCAAUGGAGGAAUCUCUGACGCAGCCACGCCGCGUGCCGGAAGACGGCCCUAUGGGUUGUAAACGGCUUUUGAUUGGGAAGAACUGUUCCGUUUCGACGGGACUUGACGGUACCAUUUGAAUAAGCACCGGCUAACUCCGUGCCAGCAGCCGCGGUAAUACGGAGGGUGCAAGCGUUGUCCGGAAUCAUUGGGUGUAAAGGGUGCGUAGGCUGGCAUCUAAGUCUGGGGUGAAAUCUUGCCGCUUAACGGUAAAAUUGCCCUGGAUAC
rnacentral:rRNA from 1 species